rnacentral:rRNA from 1 species
AUUGAACGCUGGCGGCAGGCCUAACACAUGCAAGUCGGACGGUAGCACAGAGGAGCUUGCUCCUCGGGUGACGAGUGGCGGACGGGUGAGUAAUGUCUGGGGAUCUGCCCGAUAGAGGGGGAUAACCACUGGAAACGGUGGCUAAUACCGCAUAACGUCGCACGACCAAAGAGGGGGACCUUCGGGCCUCUCACUAUCGGAUGAACCCAGAUGGGAUUAGCUAGUAGGCGGGGUAACCGCCCACCCAGGUGACGAUCCCUAGCUGGUCUGAGAGGAUGACCAACCACACUGGAACUGAGACACGGUCCAGACUCCUACGGGAGGCAGCAGUGGGGAAUAUUGCACAAUGGGCGCAAGCCUGAUGCAGCCAUGCCGCGUGUAUGAAGAAGGCCUUCGGGUUGUAAAGUACUUUCAGCGGGGAGGAAGGCGAUGUGGUUAAUAACCGCGUCGAUUGACGUUACCCGCAGAAGAAGCACCGGCUAACUCCGUACCAGCCGCCGCGGUAA